rnacentral:rRNA from 1 species
GUAGGGGGCAAGCGUUGUCCGGAAUUAUUGGGCGUAAAGCGCGCGCAGGCGGUCUCUUAAGCCUGAUGUGAAAGCCCACGGCUCAACCGUGGAGGGUCAUUGGAAACUGGGAGACUUGAGUGUAGGAGAGUAAAGUGGAAUUCCACGUGUAGCGGUGAAAUGCGUAGAUAUGUGGAGGAACACCAGUGGCGAAGGCGACUUUCUGGCCUACAACUGACGCUGAGGCGCGAAAGCGUGGGGAGCAAACAGGGAUUAGAUACCCUGGUAGUCCACGCUGUAAACGAUGAGUGCUAGGUGUUAGGGGUCUCGAUGCCCUUAGUGCCGAAGUUAACACAUUAAGCACUCCGCCUGGGAGUACGGCCGCAAGGCUG